GUGCUGGCUAUGGCAGCGCAGGUACUAAAAUUGAAACGAGACAAAGGAGAAAAGGAGAUCGGCAUGGCUCCUGUGCAAGGAUGACACGAGAAUUUGCAAAGCAUUUUAUAUUUUA
ensembl:snRNA U6 U6 spliceosomal RNA